rnacentral:rRNA from 1 species
UCGAACGGAUUUUUGUCGUAGCUUGCUAUGAUAAAAAUUAGUGGCAGACGGGUGAGUAAUGCAUAGGAAUCUACCUAGUAGUAUGGGAUAGCCACUAGAAAUGGUGGGUAAUACUGUAUAAUCCCUGCGGGGGAAAGAUUUAUCGCUAUUAGAUGAGCCUAUGUUAGAUUAGCUAGUUGGUAGGGUAAAGGCCUACCAAGGCGGUGAUCUAUAGCUGGUCUGAGAGGAUGAUCAGCCACACUGGAACUGAGAUACGGUCCAGACUCCUACGGGAGGCAGCAGUGGGGAAUAUUGGACAAUGGGCGCAAGCCUGAUCCAGCUAUGCCGCGUGAGUGAGGAAGGCCUUAGGGUUGUAAAACUCUUUCAGUGGGGAAGAUAAUGACGGUACCCACAGAAGAAGUC